UACAGAGGGUGCAAACGUUGCUCGGAAUCAUUGGGCGUAAAGCGCACGUAGGCGGCCCAGCAAGUGGGGGAGUGAAAGCCCUCGGCUUAACCGAGGAAGUGCUUUCCAAACUACUGGGCUUGAAUACUGGAGAGGGUCGCGGAAUUCCCGGUGUAGAGGUGAAAUUCGUAGAUAUCGGGGAGGAACACCAGUGGCGAAGGCGGCGACCUGGACGAGAUAUUGACGCUGAGGUGCGAAAGCGUGGGGAGCAAACAGGAUUGAGA
rnacentral:rRNA from 1 species